AGGCAAGAAAAAAAAAUCGAAAUUGAGCAAGUGAAGCAAUUGUAUCAACAAUCCAGACGAAACUAACGAUUUUAAAUUGGCUCACUACUUGACUAACCUAUUGGUCCCAAGCAAACGAUUAACGUACCCCAUUCUAAUCUAAAUUCUAGUACUACGCAAUGUUUGUUUUGAUUCGCUAUGAAAAUUUGACAGAUAAAAUGAGGGGUUAUUGGUUUUUCCUAUGUUUCGAGGGGUGAAUCGAUUAGCUUGGGACCGAAGAGAGUACCAGAGCUGAGCCAAAAAGUUGAGCACGUUAUUUCGGGACCUUCUAGUUUUAAGGGCCACCCACAUUAGAUCCGUUUGCGUUGCGUUGACGUAAAUUUGACAGUUAGACAAUAGAUUUAGCUGUCACUUUGCCACAACGCGUCCGAUCCGGAUCUAAUGUGCGUGGGCCUUUAGAGUUACCUCUAUGGUUGUAUGGUAUGAUAUGAAAUGAAUGCUCUGUAUUGGCGAAUCAAAGCAAAGCAAAAACUGGUCAUGUGACACCUAAUUUUAAGAUUCGCAAUUACAAAAAUGAUGAUGUACUAAAAAUAAUGUCAUGUAAUUUGACAGAUAUCCAAACUUCAUUACCAUUUUCACCCACACGCCAUCUAUGAGUUACCUAAUUGAUGAACUUACGUUACGGUCGACCAGCAGAUGGAAAUGAUUUAAAAAUGAUAAUGACGUUUUGCUACCUGUCAAAACGUAUGGAAUAUUUUUUAUUUAUCGAUAUCAAAGUUUUAAAAAAAUCGGUAUUUAUCGGUAUUUACUAUAUUAAUUUAUUUUCUAUUUUAGCUGUUUUUGAAAGUGAAAAUUUUAACGUUUGGACUAUGAUCGGAAAAUUCUGAAAGAAAACUCCGGGGAAUGUUUGAAUUAGCUUCUGAAGGAACAUCUAGAUAAAGAAGAAAGAAGCUUUUGUGGAAGAAAUUUGGGGAAAAUUCUAAGAAAAGUUGGAGAAACAUCCAGAAACUACCAAUACAAGAAUUGAGGAGCUACUAGUGAAUAUUCAAAGAAACCAUCGAACAAAAAAAAAAUCGGAUGUCACAUCCAAAGUAAGAAAAGUUUCGGAAUAGAAGUAAAUUCCAGAAGUAGCCAGUUCUAGGGGAAACCAGAAGAAGCUCGGAAAAACCUUCCACUAAAAAUCGAAAACCUAUGGCUUAUUGACACACUUCCAGAAGAAGACGGAAGAAACUUUCUGAAGACGCUGGCAGAAACUUCCUAAGGUAGAUUGCAAGAAACUACUGGAGAAAUUCGGAAGGCAGAGCCUAUGGAACAGUCGAAUGAAACAAGGACAUAAUUCCGGAAGAAAGAAAUUUCUGUAGGAUGUUCUAAUGAUCCAGCAAAUUUUCCUGAUAUUCAUAAAACAUCCCUGAAGUUUUCGGAACAUUUCUGAAAUGCACAUAGAUUCCUAUUCCAUAAUUCCACGGAAUUCCUUAAAAGCUACCUGAAUAUAUAUAAUCUUCUUUGAAGGUAUCUGGACUUUCUUGAAGAUAACGAAAUUUCUUAAGUGCUCUCACAAUUUUCUUGAAUUUAUUGUAUUAUUAGUAUGUAUUUUUUUCCUUUUCAUUUAACGUCGGUCUCUGUUCCGCAAUCUAGUGCCAAUCACCGACGGACAUCGAUUGCCAUCCAUUGACGGCAUUCGAAUGUGCAGGAUAUGCGUAGGAUAUCGCACCCAUUCAACACACAUGGGCCGGGACCAACGGCUUUACUUCCAUUCCGAAGGAAGACGUGACCAGAGAUUAUUAUGCCUCAGAAAAAUCCCACCGACCUCAGCUGGGAUUGAACCCAGACCCAUUGGGGUGUUAGAAAGCAGUCACGCUUACCACUACACCACCGGCGCCGGCUGUAUUAUUAGUAUUGAAGAUCUAUGAUCUUCCCAAUUUUUAAAAUUUUAGUUCUUGGCACUGCCAUUAUAAAGCACGGAAUUUCCCAUAAAAUGUUCUCACAAUGUUCUAAUGGUCAUGUAACUUCCCUUACGUUUCCUAAAUUUGUGGAACAUUGCCUGAGUUUCUCGGAAAUCCUUUAAAAUAUCAGCAUUUCCUUGAAAUUAAUUGAUCUGUCCUGAUGGUCACGGAGCUUCCCUAAAGUUCUCUCAAUUCUCUGAAACAAAUGAAACUUUCCUGAAAACCAUUAAAUUUCCCUGAAGUUCUUUGAACUAGUGAAGUUUCCAAAAUAUUUCUGAUGUUUUCAUAAGUUCACUGGAGUUCGCUGGACUUUCCUGAAAUUUUCGGGUUUUGGAAUUUGAACAGAAAUUAAUGAAACUAUCUUUAAUUUAUCGGAGCUUACUCAAAAGUCUAGACUUGUCUGAAUUUCAGAACUUCUUAAAAGUUCUUGCAGCUAGUGUGAAUCCACAAUAAAAAUAAGGAAACAUCCCUGAAGUUCAGGGGAAGUUGAAAAAAAAAACUGGCGGGAGAAGACGGAAGAACCAUUCGGGCGAUGGCUGAAGAAGCUUCCAAGGGAAGUUGAAAUAAGUUUUCGGGAGGAAUCGAGAAAUAAGUUAUGGUGUAAGGUGGAAGAAAACUCCAGGCGAAAGUUGGAAAAAAAUUCAGGAAGAUAAAAAUGAGUAAAAACUUAAGGAAGUUAAAAAAUGUUAAAAAAAUAUUUCGCGAUUCUCUACGAAUAACCGAAAAGAGCCAUCGACAGUUUAUCGAUUCCUGGGUAACCAAAAACGUUGAAGAAAUGGAAACAUUAGUCAAAAGAGUAUCAAUCAUAUGACAUUUUCAAAUAUGAUUUUUUUUAUGAAAAAUUUGAGUUAUUCAAAAAGAUACAAGUUUCUCACAGUAAUUUUCUCCAAAAUUCGAGUACGGUUAGGCAAUAAUAAUUUUGAUCAUUUGAAAAACAUCGGUAUAAAUCGGUACACAAUUUAAAAAAUCGCUAUUCUGAGGAAUCUUAUCUGUGUAUCGGUAUAUAGUUCGGAAAUCGGUAUAAAUACCGAUAAAUCGAUAUAUCUGGCAACGCUGAUGGGAACUUGCAUCGUUGUCAAUUGCACCCAGCGUUUCCAGUAUUCCAGAUUUAUCUGGAUUUUACAGAUUUUCAGUCGUCUUGCCAGAUACACGAACAGAACAAGUUUAUUUCCAGAAUAUCACUGCAAUUAAUGGACCCUCUAAUCAAAAAAUAAAAAGCCAAACUUACUACUUUAAUUACUAAAGGCCAUCAACGUUGGACAUUAUUGCAACAUCAUACAUGGAAUUGUUACAACAUGUUUGCAAUGGGUUGCAGAAUCAUGAAAAUUAAGUCAUUUUCUAAAGAUUAUUGGCGGUAAAAAAUCCUCAAAUUUUUAAAAAUAUCGAGCCAGGAUGGUUUUUGUUUAGAUGUUGACUAUAAUUUUUUUUUGGAAUCAUGGAUUUUUAAAAAUCAAUAUUCCAAUAUGGAGGAAUUUUCAUAAUUUUGGAAUUUAGAGAAAUCGAAAACUGUUCAGGAUUGAAAACAAUAAAUUGAGCUUUGGCAAGGCUUUUGAAUCUAGACAACCACCAGGACUUUGAAGUAUGUUCGUGAUAUUUUUGAGGAUAAUUAAUUAGAUUUUUAAAUAGAGUUUUAAAGUACCUGUGAAUAUCGAGUUACCUUAGUAGUCUGAAAAACUUUAGAAUUCUGAGUUGCCCUAGACUUCAGAAUUUUAAGGUAAUUCUGAAAAUAGUUUACAGUGAAGUGUAAGUAUGCAGUCUGUGCAACCUUUGAUUGAAGUAAAGACGGUAUAAAUUGUCUUUUGCCAACUCUGAUGACAAUUGCAUGGAGAUUUGUGAAGAAAGGAAAUAGUUAGAAUUCGAAAGAGAAAUCAUAGAAAAUUCUUAAGAUAAAACUUAAGGAGAAUGCUGAUAUGAAUCG